GUAAACACGCGUCUUGGCAACGUUGUAUAUUAUUUGAAGACGCGCUUGCGGUAAACUAUCGCGCCCUACCGAAAACCGUAAGUGCUCGGACACAGAAAUAAAUAAAUCUUUGUCGCACGUAAAUCGUAAAAACCUCACCGCACGGGCCGGACAGACGGAGAGGACAGUGGGUAGGUGGGACGUUGGAGCCGAAAUAACGGCCAAACAUUAUUAUACCCGGAUAUUAUUGUAAUACUAUAGCCGGCCGUUAUAGGAGCCGUUAAUCGGCCGAUAUGUGCGUCAGCGUUCGAGACGUGGACAAUACGGUAAUAACGCAUACCCCCUGUCAGGUCGAAUACGGGCAA